rnacentral:rRNA from 1 species
UACGGGGGGGGCAAGCGUUGUUCGGAAUUACUGGGCGUAAAGGGCUCGUAGGCGGCCAACUAAGUCGGAUGUGAAAUCCCCAAGCUUAACUUGGGAACUGCAUCCGAUACUGGAUGGCUUGAAUCCGGGAGAGGGAUGCAGAAUUCCAGGUGUAGCGGUGAAAUGCGUAGAUAUCUGGAGGAACACCGGUGGCGAAGGCGGCAUUCUGGACCAUUACUGACGCUGAGGAGCGAAAGCCAGGGGAGCAAACGGG